rnacentral:lncRNA from 13 species
UAAAAUCAUACUAAUCUUAAUGAAUUAAGGCUUCAAGUUACGUAGACACUGCAAGCAAGUACAAAUCACCCUGCCCAUGCCAGGGUAAAGCCAGUGUGAUGGGCUACAUCGUGUCUUUCAAAAAUACAUGUGGAAGUCCAGAAACUCAAAAUACAACCUUAUUUGGAAACUGUGUCGUGUUACGGAUGUAAUUAGUCAAGUUAAAAUGAAGUCACCCUGGAGUGAGAUGGACUCCUAAUCCAAUAGAACAAGUGUCUUUAGAGGAAGAAGAAAGUGUGAAGGCAGGUGGCCACAGAGGGAAGACUACGUGAAGACAGCUACGUGGCAGUGGAGGCUGAGAUUGGAGUCGUGCGUCACGAGCCAAGGGAAGCCUGGGGCUACCAGAAGCUGCAAGAGACAAGGAGGAGAUUGCCGUAGAGACUUCAGAGCCUCCAUGUGAUCAGCACACUCCGGCUUCGGAUCCAGGGAGACAUUUCUAGAUUCAUCAUUAUCUUAGUAUCUGCUCCACAUGUCAUCAAUUUGCAGAGGAAAAGUCUUGAAAGAAGAGGCUCUAAUUUGUUGUAUUUCUUGCAAAACUUCAUAGUUUAUAAAGUGCUGUGGAAAUUUUAUAUUCAAUCUAAACAGUAUCUCUUAGAAUCUAUAGUAAAAUGGUACAAUCACUAUUUUACUAAUAAAACACUAUGUUGUAAAGUGUUAAAUGGUCCCCUAAGGGCAAGGACAAGCUCUGGCUUUUCCAGUUAGGUAAGUUUUCAAGAUGAUCAAUCUCAGCUUUUGUCAGUUUUAAUGUGCCCUCACUAAUUACCAAGGGAACCAUGUGAGCCUGCAGAAUCAGAGACUGGUUCUUUUUGGCUUUGUGAGUCAACACUAUGAACUCAGUGAGUUUUCUUUAUUUUCCUUUUCAGCUCCAGGGUAGGAUUGUGGUAGUUAACGUUGGAGCUGACAAGGUGCUGAUUUCCCCUUUGAAAGCACAGGCUCCACAGGAAACCACAUGCUGUGUAGCUGCCUGACCAAAGCCCAGCCAGCAUCUUGUCAGUUCGGAAUCACUAAGUGGACAUCUUCCCUUUCUGGGCCCUGCACACUUGCAGUUCCCUUCCUCCUUUGAGAAGAAGCUAUGUUAAUGCAAGCCACUUACUGCCACCCCUCCAGGGCUUUGCAGGUGCACCUGUGUUCUCCACCCUGUGGUUAAGUCCCCUUCUCUGCUCCUUGUCCGAGAUGAGACAGUGCAGCGGUCACUCUGUAUGUUCUAGAGCACUAGUUUAGAAUACAUUCUCCCUGGUUUCCUGUGUCAGGAGCUUUCUGGACAGAGAGUGUUUUAAACCUGCUCAGGUCCUCCAGAAGUAAAUUACACGCCGGCUACUUUUGUACUCAUUUGCUUUCUUUUG